rnacentral:rRNA from 2 species
UUAAGCGACUAAGCGUACACGGUGGAUGCCCUGGCAGUCAGAGGCGAUGAAGGACGUGCUAAUCUGCGAAAAGCGUCGGUAAGGUGAUAUGAACCGUUAUAACCGGCGAUGUCCGAAUGGGGAAACCCAGUGCAAUUCGUUGCACUAUCGUUAACUGAAUACAUAGGUUAACGAGGCGAACCGGGGGAACUGAAACAUCUAAGUACCCCGAGGAAAAGAAAUCAACCGAGAUUCCCCCAGUAGCGGCGAGCGAACGGGGAGCAGCCCAGAGUCUGAAUCAGCUUGUGUGUUAGUGGAACGGUCUGGAAAGUCCGACGGUACAGGGUGAUAGUCCCGUACACCAAAAUGCACAGGUUGUGAACUCGAAGAGUAGGGCGGGACACGUGGUAUCCUGUCUGAAUAUGGGGGGACCAUCCUCCAAGGCUAAAUACUCCUGACUGACCGAUAGUGAACCAGUACCGUGAGGGAAAGGCGAAAAGAACCCCGGCGAGGGGAGUGAAAAAGAACCUGAAACCGUGUACGUACAAGCAGUGGGAGCACCUUCGGGUGUGACUGCGUACCUUUUGUAUAAUGGGUCAGCGACUUAUAUUCUGUAGCAAGGUUAACCGUAUAGGGGAGCCGCAGGGAAACCGAGUCUUAACUGGGCGUUAAGUUGCAGGGUAUAGACCCGAAACCCGGUGAUCUAGCCAUGGGCAGGUUGAAGGUUGGGUAACACUAACUGGAGGACCGAACCGACUAAUGUUGAAAAAUUAGCGGAUGACUUGUGGCUGGGGGUGAAAGGCCAAUCAAACCGGGAGAUAGCUGGUUCUCCCCGAAAGCUAUUUAGGUAGCGCCUCGUGAAUUCAUCUUCGGGGGUAGAGCACUGUUUCGGCUAGGGGGUCAUCCCGACUUACCAACCCGAUGCAAACUACGAAUACCGAAGAAUGUUAUCACGGGAGACACACGGCGGGUGCUAACGUCCGUCGUGAAGAGGGAAACAACCCAGACCGCCAGCUAAGGUCCCAAAGUCAUGGUUAAGUGGGAAACGAUGUGGGAAGGCACAGACAGCCAGGAUGUUGGCUUAGAAGCAGCCAUCAUUUAAAGAAAGCGUAAUAGCUCACUGGUCGAGUCGGCCUGCGCGGAAGAUGUAACGGGGCUAAACCAUGCACCGAAGCUGCGGCAGCGACACUAUGUGUUGUUGGGUAGGGGAGCGUUCUGUAAGCCUGCGAAGGUGUGCUGUGAGGCAUGCUGGAGGUAUCAGAAGUGCGAAUGCUGACAUAAGUAACGAUAAAGCGGGUGAAAAGCCCGCUCGCCGGAAGACCAAGGGUUCCUGUCCAACGUUAAUCGGGGCAGGGUGAGUCGACCCCUAAGGCGAGGCCGAAAGGCGUAGUCGAUGGGAAACAGGUUAAUAUUCCUGUACUUGGUGUUACUGCGAAGGGGGGACGGAGAAGGCUAUGUUAGCCGGGCGACGGUUGUCCCGGUUUAAGCAUGUAGGCUGGUUAUCCAGGCAAAUCCGGAUAAUCAAGGCUGAGGUGUGAUGACGAGGCACUACGGUGCUGAAGUAACAAAUGCCCUGCUUCCAGGAAAAGCCUCUAAGCAUCAGGUAACAUUGAAUCGUACCCCAAACCGACACAGGUGGUCAGGUAGAGAAUACCAAGGCGCUUGAGAGAACUCGGGUGAAGGAACUAGGCAAAAUGGUGCCGUAACUUCGGGAGAAGGCACGCUGGUGUGUAGGUGAAGUCCCUGCGGAUGGAGCUGAGACCAGUCGAAGAUACCAGCUGGCUGCAACUGUUUAUUAAAAACACAGCACUGUGCAAACACGAAAGUGGACGUAUACGGUGUGACGCCUGCCCGGUGCCGGAAGGUUAAUUGAUGGGGUUAUCCGUAAGGAGAAGCUCUUGAUCGAAGCCCCGGUAAACGGCGGCCGUAACUAUAACGGUCCUAAGGUAGCGAAAUUCCUUGUCGGGUAAGUUCCGACCUGCACGAAUGGCGUAAUGAUGGCCAGGCUGUCUCCACCCGAGACUCAGUGAAAUUGAACUCGCUGUGAAGAUGCAGUGUACCCGCGGCAAGACGGAAAGACCCCGUGAACCUUUACUAUAGCUUGACACUGAACAUUGAGCCUUGAUGUGUAGGAUAGGUGGGAGGCUUUGAAGCGUGGACGCCAGUCUGCGUGGAGCCAACCUUGAAAUACCACCCUUUAAUGUUUGAUGUUCUAACGUUGGCCCCUGACCGGGGUUGCGGACAGUGUCUGGUGGGUAGUUUGACUGGGGCGGUCUCCUCCUAAAGCGUAACGGAGGAGCACGAAGGUUAGCUAAUCCUGGUCGGACAUCAGGAGGUUAGUGCAAUGGCAUAAGCUAGCUUGACUGCGAGCGUGACGGCGCGAGCAGGUGCGAAAGCAGGUCAUAGUGAUCCGGUGGUUCUGAAUGGAAGGGCCAUCGCUCAACGGAUAAAAGGUACUCCGGGGAUAACAGGCUGAUACCGCCCAAGAGUUCAUAUCGACGGCGGUGUUUGGCACCUCGAUGUCGGCUCAUCACAUCCUGGGGCUGAAGUAGGUCCCAAGGGUAUGGCUGUUCGCCAUUUAAAGUGGUACGCGAGCUGGGUUUAGAACGUCGUGAGACAGUUCGGUCCCUAUCUGCCGUGGGCGCUGGAGAAUUGAGGGGGGCUGCUCCUAGUACGAGAGGACCGGAGUGGACGCAUCACUGGUGUUCGGGUUGUCAUGCCAAUGGCACUGCCCGGUAGCUAAAUGCGGAAGAGAUAAGUGCUGAAAGCAUCUAAGCACGAAACUUGCCCCGAGAUGAGUUCUCCCUGAGACUUUAAGUCUCCUGAAGGAACGUUGAAGACGACGACGUUGAUAGGCCGGGUGUGUAAGCGCAGCGAUGCGUUGAGCUAACCGGUACUAAUGAACCGUGAGGCUUAACCUU